CGCGGUCCCGGGCUGGCCGUGGCGCGCGCUUCAAACCCAGCCCUCCCGAGCAGGAAAGGACGGGUGGGUGCAGCUGGAGGAGGAAGCGGUGGAGGAAUUACGCCCCGGCAGCUCCUCUACGGCGGGGAAGCCUGCGGCGUCUGGGCUUCCUGAGACCGUGGGAGGAGGCCUGCGUACUCACGCCAGAGAGCGGGGCAAGCGGUUCUCAGUCGCCGGCUCCCGCCCGCAGUCCCCGGCGAGCGCUCUCCCCUGACUCAGGGACUUUCAUGUGCCCGGCGACACACCAGCAUCCUGCAGUGGGCAACCUCAGCGGACGCUUCCUCGUUUUAGGGAAUCAUCUGGUUUACACCGCGUCAGACUGCCGCCCGCAAUCUCCGUCAUCAAAGCAGGCAACCCUGUAGAGGAUGCCUUUCCCUGGAAUGAUCCGGAAUGGACGACACCUGAGCUCUCUCUGCCAAUCUUAGCAACAUCCAAGGCCAUUAUCCCUUUGAAAACUAUGGCUUCGUUUGGGACAAAAAGGAAGUAACUUACGAAAUGUGACCAGUCAGGUAGUUCCCUACACGAGGCUUCCUGGCCCAAUUUCUGUUGCCAUUAGCUUUUCAUCACCCAAGGCCGCAGGAUUUUCUGACCAGUAAUUUGGAUACCUAUAUUCUUAUACAUGUUGGCGAGGUAGGUGCGCCAUACAGUCUCCACCACAUUCUAGCACAAGCAGUCAUUAAACUUCACUCUAGCAUAAGUUAAGAAUUCAGACUGCAGUGAGAUGGCUAAGAGCAUGAAAGAUCUGCUCGAUUCAAGUGUUAGGAGCUUGAAUAAGUUUCUUAAUUUCUCUGCCUCAUCUAUUAACACAGGACUGACAAUACAGUUUAUAUAGAGUUGUUGCCAGAAUUAAAGGAGUUGAUGUAUGUGAAGCACUUAACUCGGUAACUGGCACAUCGUAGAUGACUCAGUAAAUGCUAUUACCCUUACACAUACAAGUGCCGUUUCAUACUCAGUUUGACUUGGCAAGCCUUUCCCAACCGCUUCAGGUGCCUUCCUGUUUUGUCCUCAAUUACUGUACAAAUAUUUUCUGAGGAUCUGUUACCUGCAUGUGCCAAUUAUGGAAAUAAAAUCUUCUAGUCUUUACUG
rnacentral:lncRNA from 10 species